ACACCUUUUGGGCACCAACCACACCACUCCACUCCAACACACUCCACAUCACAGCACACACAAAAUAAUAGUCGAGUUCGAGACGUGAUAUUUUUUGUUUUCGAUCGAGCAAACAAAUUCACAUUUUUCCUCAAAUAAAAUAUACAAGAAAUCAAAUAUUUCCACAUGAAAUAUGCCACGCAACGUUGCGGCAGUGAGCCAGUGAGUGUUUUAGCUGCAAAUCAUUAAGAAUUACAACAAGCGCAAAGCGAAGGCGAAAAACGAGCAUAAAUUAUUUGUGUUGAUUUGUGUGAAAAUUUUUUAAAAAAUUAUUAUUGUGCUUCAAAAGUGAUUGAAUUGUGCCUUUCCAAAUGCGAGCAGCGAACUGGAGUUUGUGAUUUUCAAUAAAUAUAAAAAUUUUAGUAAAAUUAAACCAAACAUUUUGUUGGUGUUUGCUGAAGGCGCGCGUGGCUGCCGCACAUUCGAGUGAAAAAUAUAAAAUAACAGAUUGAAAAAAAGUAAAGAAAAGAAUAAUAUAUACACUGUAAUGUGUCCGUGUACAACGCGUUUAACGUCAAAGUUGUUGUUAUUAUUGUUGUGCCGCAGUGCAAAUUCGCCAACAACAGAAUGCCAACAGUGUUUUGUGUAAAAGACGCGCGGCGCGCGCUUCUCGUGCCUUCCCAUUCACGUGUCGUUGUGUUGGUGCAGUGAUUGCAAUUGCAAUGCAGCAGCGCGCAUAACAACAAUAAAAACAAAUUUAAAAAAUUCAUAAAAUUUCUACAAUAACAAAGUGCAGGCAAAGCAAACAAUUGCAAAUAUUGAAAAAAUAUAUGGAAAGUGUUACACAAGUGUGCGGAAAGUGACCAAAAACAGUAAAAAAUAAACAUAUACAAUAACAACAACGUUUUGUUACAGUCACAGCGAAAAAAAUGAAAUUAUUAAUUUAACCGGAAACGAAUAGAAAUUAAAUCAGUGAAUUUAUGUGCCAAUACUCACACCAAUACAUACACAAAGAAAGCUAUUUAUUUAGUAUAUAAUAAAAAAUAAAACAAAAUUCCAAACACAUACAUACAAACUCAUAUGCAAGCAUAGCCAGUAUUGAAGUGAAAUGAAGUGGUAGUGCUUUGAAAAAGUUAUGAUUUCCUUAUGUUUUUGUUAUGAGUCAAUAUAAUCCAGAAACUGUCACCUAAACAGGCAAGCAACCAGACAACUAGACAACCAGGCAAUCAGUCGAACAACAACACAGCAACAGCAGUUACCACUGACGACUAUUAGUGAACAGAAAUGCUGAAAUAGCCAGCCACCUGAGUGCCAAAUAGACGCGAAGAAAUGUAAUUAUUGGUGGCUGUACGGCCAGCUGCUGACACAAAGCAACAAUAACAACACCAUACAGAAAUUGUAGCCACAACUACAACUAGCAAGAAAAUCGAUGUCAACCAUAUUAAUGGCUACAACAACAACAUUCACAACCUAACUACAAUCAAAUGCGUAUUAUACCUGUUCAACAUCCAAUUGCCGCAAAGCUUAAAGCCCAACUGAAUGCCACAAAUGCUAUUUAAAGCUAAUAUUUAUGUAACACUAAGAAAAGAGAAAUUAUUGCCAAUUUAUAAAUGCGCAAUACAAAUACAACAAGUGCCAUACACAAACAAAGAAACGCAGCUAAAACGUAACAACACGUAACAUAAAGUAACGCAACGUAACGCAACGAAUUCCGUCCAAUCAUACUGAGAUUCUUAGUGCCUUUUUACAAACAAAACAAAACUAAACUAAACAACACAAGUAUAAUAUAAACAAAAAAAAA